rnacentral:rRNA from 1 species
GGGGAAUAUUGGGCAAUGGGGGGAACCCUGACCCAGCAACGCCGCGUGGAGGAAGAAGGUUUUCGGAUCGUAAACUCCUGUCCUUGGAGACGAGUAGAAGACGGUAUCCAAGGAGGAAGCCCCGGCUAACUACGUGCCAGCAGCCGCGGUAAUACGUAGGGGGCAAGCGUUGUCCGGAAUAAUUGGGCGUAAAGGGCGCGUAGGCGGCUCGGUAAGUCUGGAGUGAAAGUCCUGCUUUUAAGGUGGGAAUUGCUUUGGAUACUGUCGGGCUUGAGUGCAGGAGAGGUUAGUGGAAUUCCCAGUGUAGUGGUGAAAUGCGUAGAGAUUGGGAGGAACACCAGUGGCGAAGGCGACUAACUGGACUGUAACUGACGCUGAGGCGCGAAAGUGUGGGGAGCAAACAGGAUUAGAUACCCUGGUAGUCCACACUGUAAACGAUGAAUGCUAGGUGUAGGGGGUAUCGACCCCUUCUGUGCCGCAGUCAACACAAUAAGCAUUCCGCCUGGGGAGUACGGCCGCAAGGUUGAAACUCAAAGGAAUUGACGGGGGCCCGCACAAGCAGCGGAGCAUGUGGUUUAAUUCGACGCAACGCGAAGAACCUUACCAGGUCUUGACAUCCACUUAAACUUACAGAGAUGUAAGGUGUGCUUGCACAAAGUGAGACAGGUGGUGCAUGGUUGUCGUCAGCUCGUGUCGUGAGAUGUUGGGUUAAGUCCCGCAACGAGCGCAACCCUUAUCUUCAGUUACUAACGCGUGAAGGUGAGGACUCUGAAGAGACUGCCGGGGACAACUCGGAGGAAGGUGGGGACGACGUCAAAUCAUCAUGCCCCUUAUGACCUGGGCUACACACGUGCUACAAUGGCCACGACAGAGAGAAGCGAAAUCGUAAGGUAGAGCGGAACUCAAAAAAGUGGUCCCAGUUCGGAUUGUGGGCUGCAACCCGCCCACAUGAAGUCGGAGUUGCUAGUAAUCGCGGAUCAGCAUGCCGCGGUGAAUACGUUCCCG